UCUCCUGAAGAAGUUCCUGCUUCACGAGAAAAUGCCAGAGCCUUUUUGCUGGAAGAGCUGAAUAAUCCUUUGAUCUGGAUGAUGCAGGAGGAGAGAUAUAAAGGAAACAGCUUCUGCUUAAUUACAGGUUCCCCCCUCCACUGAACUACAAAUAUGCAACCUAAACUGUGGACUGUUCAGAGCAUCUGUAUUUUCUUUAAUCCUGAAGAAAAGACGCAGGCACAAAGAAUUUCCAUUUUGGAUGCACAAAAUAUUCUUCAAAUGUAGAACUGUAAGAAAGCUGCUAUUUGUACCUGUAGCUGUGGCUGUCACACAGUGCUUGAUAAAUGGAUGCAGAAAGAGAAGCUGCUAAAGAAUGAAGAGUGUACACCUAAAAUAAAAAGAGGGGGAGUCUCCCUGGAACAAGAAUAGUACUACUACAAUCUUACAAUGCAGCAGAAACACUCAAUUUCUUAAUCAGAGGAAGAAAUGCAAGGAUUUCUUGGAAAGACUGAUGGAGGCCAAAUUGUGUUGAAAAUGGUUAUUUAUUCUCUUCUACUGCUGUCUACUCAGCACAGACAAGAUUUCACAAAGAUAGGUGUUAGAAGUAAGACCUGGGACUGGAGCUACUUCAGUGAUUUAUUCUACGACUGUGUAUUUGCUCUGGUUAGUCACUAACAUUUACUGGAAAAUAUAUUUCUGUAUGAAACGAAUGUAGAAAAUGCCAUAAUAUAGUAAAAGGGAGCAGCACACUGACUAAGACUAUUUCUUACAGCUUCCUUGCAUGACAUGCAGUGACAUAGGGAAUGAGAUUUUAUCAUACUUAAUCUGAAUUUAAGUUGCUAUAUAGAUACCCAGAAUAUAGUGAUCAAAACUAUAAU